UACGUAGGGUGCGAGCGUUAAUCGGAAUUACUGGGCGUAAAGCGUGCGCAGGCGGUUUUGUAAGCCAGAUGUGAAAUCCCCGGGCUCAACCUGGGAACUGCGUUUGAAACUACAAGGCUAGAGUGUAGCAGAGGGGGGUGGAAUUCCACGUGUAGCAGUGAAAUGCGUAGAGAUGUGGAGGAACACCGAUGGCGAAGGCAGCCCCCUGGGUUAACACUGACGCUCAGGCACGAAAGCGUGGGGAGCAAACAGG
rnacentral:rRNA from 1 species